rnacentral:lncRNA from 1 species
UCAGCAUGCUUAUUAUUGUACUGCUUCAUCCUACAUCUUAUGCCUUGAUAUGAUAAGAGAAACAGAGAAGUGAAAGUAUGAAUCACAUAGCAUAUGAUUCAUACUUCCACUUCUCUGGAAAGUAUUGUAGGCAGUUAAAAGGGUGUCCCAAUUCGUAGCCCUGUGGCAAGUGUCAUAGCAGAGUUUGUAGUUAGUUUUGAAAAACAGCAAGUCAUCCCAUGUUACUCCUUACCAUAUUGCUAUUAAUAAGUUCUAUGCUAGAUAUGUAGAUGGCAUAUAUAUUGCAUGGAAGAAACACCACAUGAAAAAUAUACUCUUCAUGCAGUUUACAAAUGAAACCUUGGGCAUAUGCUUAAAACUAGAUCAGCUCACAUUGAGUAAGAUCCGUUUCCUAGAUGUAAAUAUAGACAUAACAGGCACAGAUUAUAAAAUCAUUUAUAAGAAGUCUUCAUAUUUGCAUAUCAUCAUUUCUUCAUGGUCUGAUGCUCCAUAAUACAAAAAAGUGGCAUUCAAGGUGUUUUUUUGGAAGGAUUGAAAUCAAUUUCAUAUCUGAUGCAAAAAGACAGACAUUUGAUAGAAUAAUUGCCCAAGAUUUUAAGCAUUGAUACAUUUAUAGAUAUAUGUGCAAUAUAUAUGAUGUGUCACAUGAAAAGUUUAUAUCUAACAUCCCUAUACAACACCAUAGCUUGUGAUUAGUGAAUGGUGAAUCAUGGAUUGCAUGCUGCAAUCCCUGAUUCACCAUUUACUAAUGAAUGAAUCUUUGUCAGGUACAAUCCAAUCUCACUAGAACUGACUAAAAAAAAUAGAGGAAAGCAGGGAUAGAUGUGGUUUUAGCUGUCAGUUCAUCUUAUUUUUAUAAAUCAGAACAGACAAGGAUCUUAUUAUCCCAGAUAGGAAAUCAGGUAUUUAUGCUAUACAUACAGAAAAUAAAUCUAUCAGUCAAACAGAAAUAUGUUGGAAAGACCUUUGAGGCAUUAAAGAUGAGAAUUUCAGAAUAUAAGAGACAUAGCACUGGAUAAUCUUGAUAUCAUACUUGCUAAAAGAUUUUAUGAGGUUAAUUUUGCAAUAAAGUGAGACCAGGUAAUUAUAAAACAUGCCUAAUCCCAGAGAGGCUUCUACCACAGAAAUAAUAUGUAUAAAAAGAGAACGAACCAUUGUGAUAAAUGAAAAUACUCAAGGUGAUGUCAUUAUUCUGACAGUGAUGCGUGAGAAAUGCUCUGUGAUAUGUUUUGGGGGGUGUUUGUUAUGGUUUAAUAGAUCCAAAUCAUAUGAUUGUAUUUAUUUGGUAAUUUUGAAUAUUUUUACUUCCCAUUGAUGUGCAUCACACUAUAUGAUUUUAGUUUCCUUUAAAAUAUGUUCUGU